GGGGAUUUGGCUCAGUGGUAGAGUGCUUACCUAGGAAGCGCAAGGUCCUGGGUUCGAUCCCCAGCCCCG
rfam:Rattus norvegicus chromosome 3, whole genome shotgun sequence.